rnacentral:tRNA from 1 species
GCUUUCGUAGUGUAAUGGUCAGCACACUCGGCGAGUAUUCGAGAAGCCCGAGGUUGAAGUCCCGACAAGGGCA